rnacentral:rRNA from 1 species
UACGUAGGGUGCAAGCGUUAAUCGGAAUUACUGGGCGUAAAGCGUGCGCAGGCGGUUAUGCAAGACAGAUGUGAAAUCCCCGGGCUUAACCUGGGAACCGCAUUUGUGACUGCAUAGCUGGAGUACGGCAGAGGGGGAUGGAAUUCCGCGUGUAGCAGUGAAAUGCGUAGAUAUCCGGAGGAACACCGAUGGCGAAGGCAACCGCCUGGGCCUGUACUGACGCUGAGACACGAAAGCGUGGGGAGCAAACAGG